rnacentral:tRNA from 1 species
AUAGCUCAGUCGGUAGAGCGACGGACUGUUAAUCCGCAGGUCCCUGGUUCGAGCCCAGGUUCCA